GAUGAACGCUGGCGGCGUGCUUAACACAUGCAAGUCGAACGAAGCACUUUAUUUGAUUUCCUUCGGGACUGAUUAUUUUGUGACUGAGUGGCGGACGGGUGAGUAACGCGUGGGUAACCUGCCUUGUACAGGGGGAUAACAGUUGGAAACGGCUGCUAAUACCGCAUAAGCGCACAGCAUCGCAUGAUGCAGUGUGAAAAACUCCGGUGGUAUAAGAUGGACCCGCGUUGGAUUAGCUAGUUGGUGAGGUAACGGCCCACCAAGGCGACGAUCCAUAGCCGACCUGAGAGGGUGACCGGCCACAGUGGGACUGAGACACGGCCCAAACUCCUACGGGAGGCAGCAGUGGGGAAUAUUGCACAAUGGGCGAAAGACUGAUGCAGCGACGCCGCGUGAGCGAAGAAGUAUUUCGGUAUGUAAAGCUCUAUCAGCAGGGAAGAUAAUGACGGUACCUGACGAAGAAGCACCGGCUAAAUACGUG
rnacentral:rRNA from 1 species